rnacentral:rRNA from 1 species
AGUGAACGCUGGCGGUAGGCCUAACACAUGCAAGUCGAACGGCAGCACAGUAAGAGCUUGCUCUUACGGGUGGCGAGUGGCGGACGGGUGAGGAAUACAUCGGAAUCUACUUUUUCGUGGGGGAUAACGUAGGGAAACUUACGCUAAUACCGCAUACGACCUACGGGUGAAAGCAGGGGAUCUUCGGACCUUGCGCGAUUGAAUGAGCCGAUGUCGGAUUAGCUAGUUGGCGGGGUAAAGGCCCACCAAGGCGACGAUCCGUAGCUGGUCUGAGAGGAUGAUCAGCCACACGGGAACUGGGACACGGUCCAGACUCCUACGGGAGGCAGCAGUGGGGAAUAUUGGACAAUGGGCGCAAGCCUGAUCCAGCCAUACCGCGUGGGUGAAGAAGGCCUUCGGGUUGUAAAGCCCUUUUGUUGGGGAAGAAAAGCAGCAGGUUAAUACCCCGCUGUUCUGACGGUACCCAAAGAAUAAGCACCGGCUAACUUCGUG